rnacentral:rRNA from 1 species
CCUACGGGUGGCAGCAGUGGGGAAUAUUGCACAAUGGGGGAAACCCUGAUGCAGCGACGCCGCGUGAGUGAAGAAGUAAUUCGUUAUGUAAAGCUCUAUCAGCAGGGAAGAAAAGGACGGUACCUGAGUAAGAAGCCCCGGCGAACGACGUGCCAGCAGCCGCGGUAAUACGUAGGGGGCAAGCGUUAUCCGGAUUUACGGGGUGUAAAGGGAGCGUAGACGGCAGUGCAAGUCUGGAGUGAAAGGCGGGGGCUCACCCCCCGGACUGCUCUGGAAACUGUACGGCUGGAGUGCAGGAGAGGUAAGUGGAAUUCCUCGUGUAGCGGUGAAAUGCGUAGAUAUUAGGCGGAACACCAGUGGCGACGGCGGCUUACUGGACUGUACCUGCCGUUGAGGCUCGCCAGCGUGGGGAGCACACAGGAUUAGAUCCCCGAGUAGUC